rnacentral:rRNA from 1 species
AUUGAACGCUAGCGGGAUGCUUUACACAUGCAAGUCGAACGGCAGCGCGGACUUCGGUCUGGCGGCAAGUGGCGAACGGGUGAGUAAUGUAUCGGAACGUGCCCAGUAGCGGGGGAUAACUACGCGAAAGCGUAGCUAAUACCGCAUACGCCCUACGGGGGAAAGCAGGGGAUCGUAAGACCUUGCACUAUUGGAGCGGCCGAUAUCGGAUUAGCUAGUUGGUGAGGUAACGGCUCACCAAGGCGACGAUCCGUAGCUGGUUUGAGAGGACGACCAGCCACACUGGGACUGAGACACGGCCCAGACUCCUACGGGAGGCAGCAGUGGGGAAUUUUGGACAAUGGGGGCAACCCUGAUCCAGCCAUCCCGCGUGUGCGAUGAAGGCCUUCGGGUUGUAAAGCACUUUUGGCAGGAAAGAAACGUCGCGGGCUAAUACCCCGUGGAACUGACGGUACCUGCAGAAUAAGCACCGGCUAACUACGUG